AAUCGAACUUGGAGAUAGCUGGUUCUCUCCGAAAUAGCUUUAGGGCUAGCCUCAAGUGAUGAUUAUUGGAGGUAGAGCACUGUUUGGACGAGGGGCCCCUCUCGGGUUACCGAAUUCAGACAAACUCCGAAUGCCAAAUAAUUUAACUUGGGAGUCAGAAUGUGGGUGAUAAGGUCCAUAUUCGAAAGGGAAACAGCCCAGACCACCAGCUAAGGUCCCAAAAUAUAUGUUAAGUGGAAAAGGAUGUGGCGUUGCCCAGACAACUAGGAUGUUGGCUUAGAAGCAGCCAUCAUUUAAAGAGUGCGUAAUAGCUCACUAGUCGAGUGACACUGCGCCGAAAAUGUACCGGGGCUAAACAUAUUACCGAAGCUGUGGAUUGUCCUUUGGACAAUGGUAGGAGAGCGUUCUAAGGGCGUUGAAGCAUGAUCGCAAGGACAUGUGGAGCGCUUAGAAGUGAGAAUGCCGGUGUGAGUAGCGAAAGACGGGUGAGAAUCCCGUCCACCGAUUGACUAAGGUUUCCAGAGGAAGGCUCGUCCGCUCUGGGUUAGUCGGGUCCUAAGCUGAGGCCGACAGGCGUAGGCGAUGGAUAACAGGUUGAUAUUCCUGUACCACCAUUAUUCGUUUUAAGCGAUGGGGGGACGCAGUAGGAUAGGCGAAGCGUGCUGUUGGAGUGCACGUCCAAGCAGUGAGAUUGAGUGUUAGGCAAAUCCGGCACUCUUAAGAUUGAGCUGUGAUGGGGAGAGGAACUUGUUCCUCGAGUCGUUGAUUUCACACUGCCGAGAAAAGCCUCUAGCUAGAAUAACGGUGCCCGUACCGCAAACCGACACAGGUAGUCAAGAUGAGAAUUCUAAGGUGAGCGAGCGAACUCUCGUUAAGGAACUCGGCAAAAUGACCCCGUAACUUCGGGAGAAGGGGUGCUCUUUGAGGUUCACGCUUCGAAGAGCCGCAGUGAAUAGGCCCAAGCGACUGUUUAUCAAAAACACAGGUCUCUGCU
rnacentral:rRNA from 1 species